rnacentral:rRNA from 1 species
UACGUAGGGGGCAAGCGUUGUCCGGAUUUAUUGGGCGUAAAGAGCGUGUAGGCGGCCAUACAGGUCCGUUGUGAAAACUGGAGGCUUAACCUCCAGACGUCGAUGGAAACCGUAUGGCUAGAGUCCGGAAGAGGAGGGUGGAAUUCCUGGGUGUAGCGGUGAAAUGCGCAGAUAUCAGGAAGAACACCGGUGGCGAAGGCGGCUCUCUGGGCCUUACCUGACGCUGAGGAGCGAAAGCGUGGGGAGCAAACAGG